UGCAUUCACUACUGUAAGUCGCUCAUGGAUAAGAGCGUCUGCUAAAUGACUAAAA
rfam:Salmo salar isolate Sally breed double haploid chromosome ssa23, whole genome shotgun sequence.